AAUAAACGCUGGCGGCGUGCCUAACACAUGCAAGUCGAGCGAGAAAGCUCCUUCGGGAGUUAGUAAAGUGGCGAACGGGUGAGCAACACGUGAGAAUCUACCCUUUAGUGAAGAAUACCCUCGAGAAAUCGAGGCUAAUACUGCAUACGUCCCUUCGGGGAGAAAGAUGGCCUCUUUGCUAUCGCUAAAGGAUGAGCUUGCGUACUAUUAGCUAGUUGGCGGGGUAAAGGCCCACCAAGGCAAUGAUGGUUAACCGGCCUGAGAGGGUGUACGGUCACACUGGAACUUAGACACGGUCCAGACUCCUACGGGAGGCAGCAGUGAGGAAUCUUGCGCAAUGGGCGAAAGCCUGACGCAGCGACGCCGCGUGGAGGAUGACGGUUUUCGGAUUGUAAACUCCUGUUAAGCGGGAAGAAAGCCUUGUUUCUAAUACAAGCAAGGUAUGACGGUACCGCUAGAGAAAGCACCGGCUAACUUCGUGCCAGCAGCCGCGGUAAUGUGCGCG
rnacentral:rRNA from 1 species